rnacentral:snRNA from 1 species
GGCUUUGCACAGUGGCAAUAUCAUAGCCAAUGAGGUUUAUCCAAGGUGAAAUUAUCACUAAUUGAAAACUUUUCCCAAUAUCCUGCUGUGAUGACUUGCAAUAUAGUUGGCAUUGGCAAUUUUUAACAGUCUCUAUGGAGU